AAGUUGUAGCUCAGUGGAAGAGCUCUUGCCUAGCAUGCGUGAGGCACUGGGUUUGAUCCUCAGCACCACUUA
rnacentral:tRNA from 1 species